rnacentral:lncRNA from 1 species
AAUAAACAAUGUGAAAGUGCUUGGGGUAGGAGACUGCACUCCCUUCCCUAUGCUCCAAGGGCCUCUGAGCUGGAACCUUCCAACUGGAAUCAGAGUGGGGAGAAGGAGCUGUCUGUGCAGUGAUCUAGAGAACAAGUUCCAGUGUGUGAGAUACCAGCCUGUCUUCCCUUACCCUUUUCUCAGGCACUCUACAUCCCCAUUGCACACUGGGAAAUAUAAAUUGGAAGAAGACAAAUAUCUCUAGACCGAGGACAGCAGCUGGGUUUAAGCCCACAUGAAUGAUAGCAAAUGAAUCUGAGAGAGAAG